rnacentral:rRNA from 1 species
CCCAGUAACGGCGAGUGAAGCGGCAACAGCUCAAAUUUGAAAUCUGGCCCCCCGCGGGCCCGAGUUGUACUUUGGAGAGGACGCUUCUGGCGCGGCGCCGUCCGAGUUCCCUGGAACGGGACGCCGGAGAGGGUGAGAGCCCCGUACGGGCGGCCGCCUAGCCUCUGCGAAGCUCCUUCGACGAGUCGAGUAGUUUGGGAAUGCUGCUCAAAAUGGGAGGUAAAUUUCUUCUAAAGCUAAAUACCGGCCAGAGACCGAUAGCGCACAAGUAGAGUGAUCGAAAGAUGAAAAGCACUUUGAAAAGAGGGUCAAACAGUACGUGAAAUUGUUGAAAGGGAAGCGCCUGUGGCCAGACUUGCGCCCCGCGGACCACCCGGCGCCUCGCGCGCCGGGGCACGCCAGCGGGGCGCAGGCCAGCAUCGGCUCUCUCGGGGGGACAAAGGCCGCGGGAACGUAGCGCCCUCGCGGCGUAUUAUAGCCCGCGGCGCCAUGCCCCCGGGGGGGCCGAGGACCGCGCUCCGGCAAGGAUGCUGGCGUAAUGGCCACCGGCGACCCGUCUUGAAACACGGACCAAGGAGUCAAGCAUUGGGGCGAGUGUCUGGGUGGCAAGCCCGCACGCGGAAUGAAAGUGAACGCAGGUGGGAGCUUCGGCGCACCACCGACCGAUCCUGAUGUCCUCGGAUGGAUUUGAGUAGGAGCCCCGCCGCUUGGACCCGAAAGAUGGUGAACUAUGCCUGUAUAGGGUGAAGCCAGAGGAAACUCUGGUGGAGGCCCGCAGCGGUUCUGACGUGCAAAUCGAUCGUCAAAUAUGG